rnacentral:rRNA from 1 species
ACUCAAAUGAAUUGACGGGGGCCCGCACAAGCGGUGGAGCAUGUGGUUCAAUUCGACGCAACGCGAAGAACCUUACCGGGGCUUGACAUCUGCGGAAAUCCCAUGAAAGUGGGCUUCGGGGCAACCCGACCGCAAGACAGGUGCUGCAUGGCUGUCGUCAGCUCGUGCCGUGAGGUGUUGGGUUAAGUCCCGCAACGAGCGCAACCCUUGUCGUGUGUUGGUCCACAAGAUCUCUCACACGAGACCGCCGGUGAGAAGCCGGAGGAAGGUGGGGAUGACGUCAAGUCAGCAUGGCCCUUACGUCCCGGGCUACACACGUGCUACAAUGCGCGCGACAGCGAGCAGCGAACUUGUGAAAGUAAGCCAAUCUCUGAAACGCGCGCUCAGUUCGGAUUGAAGGCUGCAACUCGCCUUCAUGAAGUCGGAAUCGCUAGUAAACGCAGAUCAGCUACGCUGCGUUGAAUACGUUCCCGGGCCUUGCACACACCGCCCGU